UUAACUAUUUACAUAGUACUCGGACAACAUAAUAAAGAGUUUUGGGGUCCUCUGGCAGGCACAGACCAGCCAAAGCCGGUGGUCACAAGACGGGCCUGCCAAAGCAACAAAGGUAAUGUAAACAAAGGGUGGGAGAUCUACCCCAAAGGGCAAUUUCUCUGUAAUGAUCCUUCCGCAGGUUCACCUACGGAAA
rnacentral:misc_RNA from 1 species